rnacentral:rRNA from 2 species
UGAACCUGCGGAAGGAUCAUUGAAUCUAUCAAUAACCACACCGUGCACCUCUUUGUCUGGCCCAUCAUUCUCUCCGGAGUUUGGUGCUUCCCGGGUAGCAUUAACUUGCUGCUUGGGUUGGGCUCGGCUGCCCAUUCAUCUGGGUAGUCGGGUUGGUCUUUGCUAACCAACAACACCAAAUCAAAACUAAAGCCAAAGAUAUGUGCUCGGCCUAGCCGUCACAUCCUAACUGAGACAACUCUCAACAACGGAUAUCUUGGCUCUCGCAACGAUGAAGAACGCAGCGAAAUGCGAUACGUAGUGUGAAUUGCAGAAUUCCGUGAAUCAUCAAAUCUUUGAACGCAAAUUGCGCCCAAGGCUUCGGCUGAGGGCAUGUUUGCCUCAGCGUCGGGUUAAUCUCACUCCCCUCCUCCCAUAGUGGAAGCGGGUAAGUGGACCUGGCUGUUCCAGAGCUUGAGUGCUUCAUUGCGCUUGGCAAUAGCUCUGGAUCAGCUGAAGAGUAGAGGCUAGCUCAAGGACCCGUCAAGGGCCGCAACUGGGUAGGCAGCUCACGCUUGCUAUUUCUAGUUGUUGGCUUGGGACCAUGAGCUCGGCCCUCAAACAGGAACCUCUUUUUUUUCUCGACCUGAGCUCAAGCAAGACCACCCGCUGAACUUAAGCAUAUCAAUAAGCGGAGGAAAAGAAACUAACAAGGAUUCCCUUAGUAAUGGCGAAUGAAACGGGAAUAGCCCAACUUGAAAAUCUCCCUUUGGAGAAUUGUAGUCUAGAGAAGCGCCCUCUGCGGCGGCCGGAGCCUAAGUCCGUUGGAAAACGGCGUCAGAGAGGGUGAGAACCCCGUCGGCUCUAGGCUUAGCUGCUCCACGAGGUGCUUUCCACGAGUCGGGUUGUUUGGGAAUGCAGCCCAAAAUGGGAGGUACAUCCCUUCUAAGGCUAAAUACUGGCGAGAGACCGAUAGCGAACAAGUACCGUGAGGGAAAGAUGAAAAGAACUUUGAAAAGAGAGUUAAAAAGUGCUUGAAAUUGUUGAGAGGGAAGCGUUUGGAGGUUAUAGGUGCGCCUAGGCUUAUACGAUUCUAACGAGCCGUUGUAUGUGCUAGGUGCUGGUCAACAUGGGUUAGCCUGGCGGGAUAACAGCGGGGGUUGAUACCCCGUCUAUGCCGCCGGGUUGAUCAAGGUGUGAAUGGCGCUCUGUCCUUCGGGAACUGCGUCAUCAAGAUGUUGGCAGAAGGCCUUCAAACGA